GACGUAGGGCGCGAGCGUGUCCGGAUUUAUUGGGCGUAAAGAGCUCGUAGGCGGCUCGUUGCGUCGGCUGUGAAAACCCGCAGCUCAACUGUGGGCUUGCAGCUGAUACGGGCGGGCUGGGAUUCGGUAGGGGAGACUGGAAUUCCUGGUGUAGCGGUGAAAUGCGCAGAUAUCAGGAGGAACACCGGUGGCGAAGGCGGGUCUCUGGGCCGAUAUCGACGCUGAGGAGCGAAAGCGUGGGGAGCGAACAGG
rnacentral:rRNA from 1 species